rnacentral:rRNA from 1 species
UACGGGGGGAGCAAGCGUUGUUCGGAUUUACUGGGCGUAAAGGGCGCGUAGGCGGUUUGUUAAGUCGGUUGUGAAAGCCCGGGGCUCAACCCCGGAGGGUCGACCGAUACUGGCAGGCUAGAGUACAGAAGAGGUAGCUGGAAUUUACGGUGUAGCAGUGAAAUGCGUAGAUAUCGUAAGGAACACCAGUGGCGAAGGCGGCUCACUGGCCCGGUACUGACGCUGAGGUGCGAAAGCGUGGGGAGCAAACAGG